GAAUAAUAAGAAAAAUAGCACUAAAAGCCAUUCUAGUAGAAGGGCUUCUAAGAUGAAAUUUGCAAAAGCCUUAAGUCAUAAAUUUUAUGAAGCAAAAGGGUCAACAAAUUUCAGCCAUUGUUGAAAACUAUUGCAGUGAAGAGUUUGGUUUCAGAAACCAACAUUUUUAUUUGGACUAAAAUUAUAAUGGCAACAAGCACUGCACAGCAAACAACCAAACGUCACCCAAUACCUGCCACACUUUCUGGAUUGGCAUAUGACUUGCAAACUCCUCCCUUUUACCAAAGCUGUUGGU
rnacentral:misc_RNA from 1 species